UUCCCUCCUUCCUUCCUUCCUUCCUUCCGCUCCUUCCCCCCUUACAUCAUUUUUUCUGAAAGAAGGUCCUUCUCUGGGCUGAGGAGAACAGAGGAAAAGGAGGCACAGUGACAUGACGUUAGCGUCUGGAAACACAGCCCAAAGAAAGUGCCCUUCCCUUUUGGCCCUUCUUGGGGGCUGAGGGCACGUGAAACACUUCCUUUAUGCCCCUUCUCGGCUCGCCGUCCCCGUGGCGGGAAGGGACACGCUCUUUGGGAACUCUCGGCUUCCAUGUAAACCUCACAGCAUUUUUGAGCCUGGGUAGAACGGUUCAGCCAAGAGAGGCAUUUAUUAUGCAACCAACAUUCAUUAAGCACCGACUGUAUGCCAGGGACUGGGAAAACAGAGGUGAACCAGACACGCUACCUGGGCUUAAGUAGCUGCUGGUCUGAGGGAAGAGGCAGUGGGUCAGACGAAUAAAGAUGAGGUCACGGCCUGCUGGCGGAGGUCCCUGCCUUGAGCUCUCUUGGAAUCAGGGGAGCCGUACCCCCUGAGGGAAGUUCCAUACCCGGUCUUGAAGCUCUUUAUCAAAAGCAGCAGUGUCUCUGGUACCUCCUGCCUCCCUCAGGAGGUUUCCGGGAUGGACGCUAGGUCUCCCAUUGGACGGACAAAGAAACUGAGGCCCAGAGGCACGGAACAAAAAGUCCCAGAGUUGCGGUCAGGACUGAGUCUUGGCCCUGGGGGCCCACAUCCAGGGCAUCCUGGCUGCCGCGGAGGGCCGCCACAGUCAUCGGAUGCGACGCUCAGUGCGCACCUGCUCAGGCAGCCCCACCAGAACCCAGGGAGGGAGGCGUCACGGUCAUGUUCACGCCACGCACGGGACACGGGCGGGGGAGGGCCGAGAAGCUCGCUCGCAGCCGCGUAGCUCGCACGCAGAACCCACUGGAGCCCGAGCUGGUGCUUUUUGUUUUUUGUUUUCUUUUUCAAAUUGUGGUUAAAUACAACAUAACCUCAUGUUUCUCACUUUAUUUGUAAGUGUCAACCCAGUGGCGUCAGAUACAUUCGUCGUGCCGUGUGACCCUCACCAGCACCUACGCGGAGAUUUUCGUCAUCCCCCGACAAAAUCUCUGAACCCACGAGGCAGGGACGGCCCCCCCCCCCCCCCCCCCCGCCCACCGCGCAGCCCCUGGGAUGGCUCUGCGGCUCCAUGGCAUCUGACGGCUCUAGGGACCUCAUAUGAGCGGAGUCACAGGGUCUGUCCUUUGUGACUGGCAUCUUGCACUCAGCACAGUGUCCUCAGGGUUCUUGGGUGGUGCAGCCUGUGUGAGAAUUCCCUUCCUUCCUUCGUAAGUCGGAUAAUAUUCCACUGUAGGGAUGGGCCGCGUCUUAGCCGUUCAUCUUUUGAUGGCAGAAUCCUCCCUUGAAAAGAAAUAAUUAUGCUCUCCUGCAGACACGUGUCCCGGGGGACGGUGCUGGGACCCGGGUGGGGCUGUGGGAAGUGCUGCAGACACCCCUGAAGGUCCCGCCGUGUGGCCAGGGGCUCUGGCCGCGUGCGGCUCCCUUCACCAGGACUCCGCAGUCAGCAGGCAGCUUUGGCGCCUCCUGUAUACGGGCCCUGUGCUAGGCACUGGGGAGAGGUGGUGAGGGGGGUUCAGAGGCAAGCAGACCGCCAUCCCCCUAGUGGGGGAGGAGGGAAGGUGCACUCAACACACAUUCGACGAGCAAGUUGUCCGGGGCCUUCUGCGUGCACCAGCACCAGCAUCCAGAGCUAAUGGGUGAACCUCCGCCCUCGGUUUCCCCACCUGGCGGCCAGGGCAUUCUCCGGGGGACCUUCCAGGCCGAUGCUCUGAGUUCACUGUUCCAGGCGUGGGCGACUCCGGGUUUAGCGGGCUGAGGCUGCUGCAGGUGUCUGGGAGCCGGUCUGCUUUGGGGGGAAACCCCAGCCUGCUUCUGCUCAUCGGCCCCCCAGCGAGCAGGCUUCUCAGUCCAGAAGGCAGGUCCUGACUGCCUGGGCUUCCUUCCUGACCUUCAGCUGGUUUCUUCCCCGGGGCUCCCACCCACCGCUUCCAGCACGCGUCUCUGCCGCCACGAGGCCAGGAGCGGACGCUCCAUCCGGGAGAGGCUCGCAGCCACGACAUUCUGCCCUCCCGGCUGCCUGUGCUGAGGGCUGGAGGCCGUGGGGACGAGCCGUUCUCGCUUGCUUACAUAAGGCUUGGCACCUGGACCCCCGGAGCCACACUCCCGGGCACGACCUCGAGUCCUAGACGUGAGGCGGGUCAGAGAGCACGCCCGGGUCUGGGCUGGAGAGGCGUGUGGCCGGGAAGGGGUGGGGGGGGGACCCACGUUAGGUCCCGCAGCUGUGCCUCCGCUCUCCAGCCCUCACCAGCCUGGCGUUAGCAUUCUUCCGCGCCUUGGCCAGUGCGCUAAGAGCAAAAUGGCACUUUCGCCGUCUAUGCGGGACGUUGCAUUUCUUUGAUCGUUGACAAAAUUCAACGUUCUGUUACCUUGUGUUUAUGGACCCUAUUUUCCUUUGAUGAAUUACCCAACUGUAUCCUUAGCCCACUCUUCCAUUAAUGUGGUUUUUUUUUUUCUUGUUGAUUUACAAGAACUCUUUGUAUAUUAUGGAUAGGGAGAAGAGGCAGAGUGGAUUCACGGAUUUGUUCUCUUUUCUGGGGAGAGUAAAUGCAACUGUCACCCCUUUCUCAAGGUCAGCUGAUGUUUGACAUUCCAAUUGCCUUUUCCUCCCCCUCUCAGCUUUACGCUUUUCUUUGCAUUUCACAGCUGCCCGGGCACAGCUGCCCCUAUGGGGGGCUAUAUAAAGCCCCAAGGAGAGCUUGAUCUUGGAGCAAAAGACCCCAGUGUAACAGCCUUUAUGCAAGAAAAGGAUGUCUGAGUUUGUGCUCUCUGGAUGCUUUCUCUGGCCAGCAGAUGAUAGGGAAGGACCGAACCCCAACCAUCCCCUCCCCAACACGCACAGCCCCUGGCCCCGACGAAACACGCAGUCGCUUCUUUGGGGACAAGCAGAUUUUUCAAACAAAGUUUGCCAAAUAGGCACAUUUUGUUGUGUUUUUUUUCCCCAUCCAGGGCAGAUGCAAACGGUCUUUUCAAAUCGGUUUGGAGGAAAAUAAAUGAGCCCAUGCUGGGGCUUCAAUAAAUCUUUGCGUAAAGCCACAAGGGACAAAGGGAGCUUUGGGCAUUUCUCCCCCUCCUGGAGGGUCUCCCGGUGAAAUAUUUGUCGUGGCCGUGCUCCGCGUGUGACCGGGGUCCGUGUCUCUGAGCCAGGACCUGUCUCCAGGGGGCGAUCUGUGUGCUGACCUUCCGCCCAGCGGCUCGAGGACCCCCACCCCGGCUGCAGGCGACUCUGGUCCCCCAAGGAGGAUCAUCUCUCCUGGCCUCCCUGCUGGGGACUGGAGGUUGGUGGCAGCAGCGUGGCUCGUCGCCUCCUGGCCCGUCUCCCCGUGCUGUCCCCACCCACCGGCCAAAUGGUGGCCUGGUCUCCAUCCGCACUCUUCUCCCUCUGUCUCCCUGACACUCUGCAUCCAGUGUCCCAGCCCCCAGCACGUUGCCCAGGCGGCUUGGCACCUGGGGCAACCUUCACCUACCAGACCCCCCUGGAGGAGCCUUGCUCUCCCGUGAGGGAUGACCCCCGAGGCUCCUCGACGCCGUGAUGCCUGCCUUGAUUUCCCUUCCCGAUGCAGCGGACCUCCAUUCUUUCUAGGCGGUGGGCAUGUUGUGGACACUUGGCCUUCCUUGUGAUUUCCACUUGGCACCUCUCUGGCGUUUUCACGGGUUCCUCCACUCUGGGUGUGUCUGAUUCCUUUCUUAGAGGGAGGUCGGGAGUAACAGGCCGGGCUGAGCGUGGCACGCGUGCGCUCCAUGGGCCACGGGGACCCGUGGAGCCGGAGGCGACAGCAUCCGUGGGCCAGGAGGGGGCCUCAGCGCCCAGCGGGAGAGGAGAGUCCCUCCCUGACUCCAGGAUGCAUGGAGUGGACCACUUGUCCACCCCUGCCUGGCCGUCUGGACUGGGGUAAUCGCGUCCCCCCACCCCCCCCAAAUUCAUACCCACCGCAUCUCAGAACGGGAACUUAUUUGGAAGUAGGGUCUUUGCCGCAGAUGUAAUUAAAGUCCGGGUCUCGAGACGAGAUCAUCGUGGCUUAGGGAGGGCCUCAAAUCCCACGAGUGUCUUUAUAAAGGACAGAGGUGAAGACCCACGCACACACAGAGACCGUGUGAGAUCGAGGCAGAGAUGCGAGCGCUGUGGCCGCAGCCCGGGGAUGUCCGGAGCCCCCGGAAGUUGUAGGGCGCGGGAAGGACCCUCCCCGAGAGCGUCUGGAGGGCGCGGGGCCCCGCCCACCCCCCCGCCCACCCUUGAUUUCAGAUCUCUGGCCUCCAGACCGUCAGAGAAUCAGUCUCUAUUGUUUUAAGCAACCAGGUGUGGGGUUCUUUGUUACCGCAGCCCCGCGACACUCAGACGACAUCCGUUGCCAACAGGACUGAAGGAAGUGGGCGGAGAUUUCCCUAGUUAGCGGUCUCCCUCUCUGAGAGGGUCGGCCUGCCGUCCCAUUGUCCCAUUGCUGCCGUCCACACCCCCGUGCUGGCUGAGACCAGGCUGCCACGGGCUCCGCCCUCUCCCACCCCACAGCCACCCUCACAGACAGGGGCCGCUGCGACUUCUUCCACGGGCAGGGAAACUGAGGCUCAGAGAGGCUGGGCAAGAGCCACAGCUAUGGCGCUUGGCCACUGGGUUGGCUCCAGCUCAUGGCCUCUGACCCCGGUGACUUACUCCAGGCCCUUGAGCGCCACUCGAUCCAGAGCUGACCCUCAUCAUCUGUUCCUGGGGCUGCGAACAGCGCUUGUAGCCAUGGAACCCUCAGGGUGGGAGCCCACGGACUUUCCGGAACGUUUGCCCGAAGCAGUGAGGAUUCACUGAAUGAAGGAAUCCCUGAUGAUGAACUGAUGAAUGAAGCCGGUCUGGCGGGCUCCAGGGGUAGAGAUCAUUUGUGACAUGCGGCCAUUCUUUCCCCCGGGUUUCUGCAGGUGGAUAUACUUGAAAAACAAACACAAAAUUGAGGCCAAAGUGUGUUUAUCAUUCAAUAGACUUCUGGUUUCUUGUUUCA